rnacentral:rRNA from 1 species
AGAGCGAACGCUGGCGGCAUGCUUAACACAUGCAAGUCGCACGGGCAGGGGCAACCCUGUCAGUGGCGGACGGGUGAGUAACGCGUAGGUAUCUAUCCUUGGGUGGGGGACAACUGUGGGAAACUACAGCUAAUACCGCAUGAUAACUGAGGUUUAAAGGCGCAAGUCGCCUGGGGAGGAGCCUGCGUACGAUUAGCUUGUUGGUGGGGUAAAGGCCUACCAAGGCGACGAUCGUUAGCUGGUCUGAGAGGAUGAUCAGCCACAUUGGGACUGAGACACGGCCCAAACUCCUACGGGAGGCAGCAGUGGGGAAUAUUGGACAAUGGGCGCAAGCCUGAUCCAGCAAUGCCGCGUGUGUGAAGAAGGUCUUCGGAUUGUAAAGCACUUUCGACGGGACGAUGAUGACGGUACCCGUAGAAGAAGCCCCGGCUAACUUCGUGCCAGCAGCCGC